CCCCUCUCAAGGUUGCACCUGGAUAGUUUCCAGUACUCUAUCAGUUUCAACUAUGGGAGGGAGAGUCAAGCAGAGUCAUAUCCAUUCCAUUCCUAGCUUGGCCAGAGGCUAGCAAGUGGAAGGCAAUCUGCUAUAAGU